rnacentral:rRNA from 1 species
UACGUAGGGGCCGAGCGUUGUCCGGAUUUAUUGGGCGUAAAGAGCGCGUAGGCGGUCCGAUAAGUCGGCUGUGAAAGUCAGGGGCUCAACCCUUGAAAGCCGGCCGAUACUGUCGGACUAGAGUCCGGAAGAGGCAAGUGGAAUUCCCGGUGUAGCGGUGAAAUGCGCAGAUAUCGGGAGGAACACCAAUGGCGAAGGCAGCUUGCUGGGACGGUACUGACGCUGAGGCGCGAAAGCGUGGGGAGCAAACAGG